rnacentral:rRNA from 1 species
CGUCGUGAGACAGUUCGGUCCCUAUCUGCCGUGGGCGUUGGAAGAUUGAAGGGGGCUGCUCCUAGUACGAGAGGACCGGAGUGGACGAACCUCUGGUGUUCGGGUUGUGUCGCCAGACGCAUUGCCCGGUAGCUAAGUUCGGAAUCGAUAACCGCUGAAAGCAUCUAAGCGGGAAGCGAGCCCUGAGAUGAGUCUUCCCUGAUACUUUAAGUAUCCUAAAGGGUUGUCGGAGACUACGACGUUGAUAGGUCAGGUGUGUAAGUGCUGUGAGGCAUUGAGCUAACUGAUACUAAUUGCCCGUGAGGCUUAACCAUACAACACCCAAGGGGUUU